rnacentral:rRNA from 1 species
AUUGAACGCUGGCGGCAUGCUUUACACAUGCAAGUCGGACGGCAGCACAGAGAAGCUUGCUUCUUGGGUGGCGAGUGGCGAACGGGUGAGUCACAUAUCGGAACGUACCGAGCAGUGGGGGAUAACUAAUCGAAAGAUUAGCUAAUACCGCAUAUCUUCUGAGGAAGAAAGCAGGGGACCAUUUGGCCUUGCGCUGUUUGAGCGGCCGAUAUCUGAUUAGCUAGUUGGUGGGGUAAAGGCCUACCAAGGCGACGAUCAGUAGCGGGUCUGAGAGGAUGAUCCGCCACACUGGGACUGAGCCACGGCCCAGACUCCUACGGGAGGCAGCAGUGGGGAAUUUUGGACAAUGGGCGCAAGCCUGAUCCAGCCAUGCCGCGUGUCUGAAGAAGGCCUUCGGGUUGUAAAGGACUUUUGUCAGGGAAGAAAAGGGCGGGGUUAAUACCCCUGUCUGAUGACGGUACCUGAAGAAUAAGCACCGGCUAACUACGUG